UACGAAGGGGGCGAGCGUUGUUCGGAUUUACUGGGCGUAAAGGGCGCGUAGGCGGCCCUCCUUGUCGCGUGUGAAAGCCCCGGGCUCAACCUGGGAAUUGCGCGCGAAACGGGGGGGCUUGAGUUCGGGAGAGGAGCGUGGAAUUCCCAGUGUAGAGGUGAAAUUCGUAGAUAUCAGGAGGAACACCGAUUGCGAAGGCAGCUCGCUGGGACGUAACUGACGCUGAGACGCGAAAGCGUGGGGAGCAAACAGG
rnacentral:rRNA from 1 species